AGGGUACUCGAGUGGCGAACGGGUGAGUAACACGUGGGUGAUCUGCCCUGCACUUCGGGAUAAGCCUGGGAAACUGGGUCUAAUACCGGAUAGGAGCCAUUUUUAGUGUGAUGGUUGGAAAGUUUUUUCGGUGUAGGAUGAGCUCGCGGCCUAUCAGCUUGUUGGUGGGGUAAUGGCCUACCAAGGCGGCGACGGGUAGCCGGCCUGAGAGGGUGGACGGCCACAUUGGGACUGAGAUACGGCCCAGACUCCUACGGGAGGCAGCAGUGGGGAAUAUUGCACAAUGGGCGCAAGCCUGAUGCAGCGACGCCGCGUGGGGGAUGACGGCCUUCGGGUUGUAAACUCCUUUCGCUAGGGACGAAGCUUUUGUGACGGUACCUAGAUAAGAAGCACCGGCUAACUACGUGCCAGCAGCCGCGGUAAUACGUAGGGUGCGAGCGUUGUCCGGAAUUACUGGGCGUAAAGGGCUCGUAGGUGGUUUGUCGCGUCGUCUGUGAAAUUCCGGGGCUUAACUCCGGGCGUGCAGGCGAUACGGGCAUAACUUGAGUACUGUAGGGGUAACUGGAAUUCCUGGUGUAGCGGUGAAAUGCGCAGAUAUCAGGAGGAACACCGAUGGCGAAGGCAGGUUACUGGGCAGUUACUGACGCUGAGGAGCGAAAGCAUGGGUAGCGAACAGGAUUAGAUACCCUGGUAGUCCAUGCCGUAAACGGUGGGCGCUAGGUGUGAGGGUCUUUUCACGACUUUCGUGCCGUAGCUAACGCAUUAAGCGCCCCGCCUGGGGAGUACGCCCAAGG
rnacentral:rRNA from 1 species